UACGUAGGGGGCAAGCGUUGUCCGGAUUUAUUGGGCGUAAAGCGCUCGCAGGUGGUUCGUCGCGUCGUGCGUGAAAGACCCCGGCUCAACUGGGGGAUGUCGUGCGAUACGGGCGGACUGGAGGCCAGUAGGGGGAUGCGGAAUUCCGGGUGUAGUGGUGGAAUGCGUAGAGAUCCGGAGGAACACCAGCGGCGAAGGCGGCAUCCUGGACUGGUCCUGACACUCAGGAGCGAAAGCGUGGGGAGCGAUCCGG
rnacentral:rRNA from 1 species